GACGAACCGAGCGAACGUUGUUCGGAAUCACUGGGCUUAAAGGGCGCGUAGGCGGGCUGUCAAGUCUGGGGUGAAAUCCCGCGGCUCAACCGUGGAACUGCCUCAGAUACUGACGGCCUCGAGGGAGAUAGGGGCGAGCGGAACUAAUGGUGGAGCGGUGAAAUGCGUUGAUAUCAUUAGGAACUCCGGUGGCGAAGGCGGCUCGCUGGAUCUUUUCUGACGCUGAGGCGCGAAAGCUAGGGGAGCAAACGGG
rnacentral:rRNA from 1 species